AGAGUUUGAUCCGGCUCAGCCAGCAGCCGCGGUAAUAGAGUUUGAUCCUGGCUCAGAUUGAACGCUGGCGGCAGGCCUAACACAUGCAAGUCGAGCGGAUGAAGAGAGCUUGCUCUCUGAUUCAGCGGCGGACGGGUGAGUAAUGCCUAGGAAUCUGCCUGGUAGUGGGGGACAACGUUUCGAAAGGAACGCUAAUGCCGCAUACGUCCUACGGGAGAAAGCAGGGGACCUUCGGGCCUUGCGCUAUCAGAUGAGCCUAGGUCGGAUUAGCUAGUUGGUGAGGUAAUGGCUCACCAAGGCGACGAUCCGUAACUGGUCUGAGAGGAUGACCAGCCACACUGGAACUGAGACACGGUCCAGACUCCUACGGGAGGCAGCAGUGGGGAAUAUUGCACAAUGGGCGCAAGCCUGAUGCAGCCAUGCCGCGUGUAUGAAGAAGGCCUUCGGGUUGUAAAGUACUUUCAGCGGGGAGGAAGGCGAUGCGGUUAAUAACCGCGCCGAUUGACGUUACCCGCAGAAGAAGCACCGGCUAACUCCGUGC
rnacentral:rRNA from 1 species